rnacentral:rRNA from 1 species
UACGUAGGGCGCAAGCGUUAUCCGGAAUUAUUGGGCGUAAAGAGCUUGUAGGCGGUUUGUCGCGUCUGCUGUGAAAUUUCGGGGCUCAACCCCGGGCCUGCAGUGGGUACGGGCAGACUAGAGUGCGGUAGGGGAGACUGGAAUUCCUGGUGUAGCGGUGAAAUGCGCAGAUAUCAGGAGGAACACCGGUGGCGAAGGCGGGUCUCUGGGCCGUAACUGACGCUGAGGAGCGAAAGCAUGGGGAGCGAACAGG